GACGAACGCUGGCGGCGUGCCUAACACAUGCAAGUCGAACGGAAAGACCCUGCUUUUGUGUGGUUCUCGAGUGGCGCACGGGUGUGUUGCACAGGAGUAUCCUGCCCUUUGCUGGGUGAUAUCUUGAGGCAACUGCGGCUAAUACAUGAUAGGAGCUCGUGCAGCAUGGGGGUGGUUGGACAGUUUCGGCUGUGCGGGCUCGAUGGGGGGGUUAUCAGCUUGUUGGUGGGGUAGUUGCUUACCCAGCCUUUGACGGGUAGCCUGCAUGGGAGGGUGAACGGCCACAAUGGGCCUGAGAUAGGGCGCAGACGGGUACGGGAGGCAGCAGUGGGGAAUAUUGCACAAUGGGCGGAAGCGUGUUGAAGAAAUGCCGCGUGCGGGAUGAAGGCUUUCUGGGGGUAAACCGCUGUAGCCUGAGACGAAGCGGUAUUGACGGUAAUGGGUAAAGAAGCACCGGCUAACUACGUG
rnacentral:rRNA from 1 species